rnacentral:rRNA from 1 species
GAGAUCGGAUAACACCUGGAAACAGAUGCUAAUACCGGAUAACAACAGAUGAUGCCUAUCAACUGUUUAAAAGAUGGUUCUGCUAUCACUCUUGGAUGGACCUGCGGUGCAUUAGCUAGUUGGUAGGGUAACGGCCUACCAAGGCGAUGAUGCAUAGCCGAGUUGAGAGACUGAUCGGCCACAUUGGGACUGAGACACGGCCCAAACUCCUACGGGAGGCAGCAGUC